rnacentral:rRNA from 1 species
GAUGAACGCUGGCGGCGUGCCUAAUACAUGCAAGUCGAGCGAACAGACGAGGAGCUUGCUCCUCUGACGUUAGCGGCGGACGGGUGAGUAACACGUGGAUAACCUACCUAUAAGACUGGGAUAACUUCGGGAAAUCGGAGCUAAUACCGGAUAAUAUAUUGAACCGCAUGGUUCAAUAGUGAAAGACGGUUUUGCUGUCACUUAUAGAUGGAUCCGCGCCGCAUUAGCUAGUUGGUAAGGUAACGGCUUACCAAGGCAACGAUGCGUAGCCGACCUGAGAGGGUGAUCGGCCACACUGGAACUGAGCCACGGUCAAGACUCCUACGGGAGGCAGCAGUAGGGAAUCUUCCGCAAAGGGCGAAAGCCUGACGGAGCAACGCCGCGUGAGUGAUGAAGGUCUUCGGAUCGUAAAACUCUGUUAUUAGGGAAGAACAAAUGUGUAAGUAACUAUGCACGUCUUGACGGUACCUAAUAAGAAAGCAACGGCUAACUACGUG